ensembl:misc_RNA Metazoa_SRP Metazoan signal recognition particle RNA
GCCGGGUGCAGUGGCGUGCGCCUGUAAUCCAAGUUGCUGGGAGGCUUAGGCUGGCGGAUCGUUUGAGCUCAGGAGUUCUGAGCUGCAGCGGACUAUGCCGAUCGGGUGUCCGCACUAAGUUCGGUAUCGAUAUGGUGCUCCUGGGGGAGCCCGGGACCACCAGGUCGUCUAAGGAGGGGUGCACCGGCCCAGGCCGGAAACGGAGCAGGCCAAAGCCCCCGUGCCGCUCAGUAGUGGGAUCGCGCCUGUGAAUAGACGCUGUAGUGCAGCCUGAGCAAUACAGCGAGACCCAGUCUUUU